rnacentral:rRNA from 1 species
UACGGAGGGUGCGAGCGUUGUUCGGAAUCACUGGGCGUAAAGCGCGUGUAGGCGGCCUGCUAAGUCUGAUGUGAAAGCCCGAGGCUCACCCUCGGAAGUGCAUUGGAAACUGGCAGACUGGAGUCCCGGAGAGGAGGGUGGAAUUCCUGGUGUAGCGGUGAAAUGCGCAGAUAUCAGGAAGAACACCCGUGGCGAAGGCGGCUCUCUGGGACGGUACUGACGCUGAGACGCGAAAGCGUGGGGAGCGAACAGG